rnacentral:rRNA from 1 species
GAUGAACGCUGGCGGCGUGCCUAAUACAUGCAAGUAGAACGCUGAAGGAGGAGCUUGCUCUUCUGGAUGAGUUGCGAACGGGUGAGUAACGCGUAGGUAACCUGCCUGGUAGCGGGGGAUAACUAUUGGAAACGAUAGCUAAUACCGCAUGACAACAGUUAUUGCAUGAUAACUGUUUAAAAGGGGCAACUGCUCCACUACCAGAUGGACCUGCGGUGUAUUAGCUAGUUGGUGAGGUAACGGCUCACCAAGGCGACGAUACAUAGCCGACCUGGGAGGGGGGUCGGCCAACCUGGGACUGAGACACCGCCCAAGAUCCUACGGGAGGCAGCAGGAGGGGAUCUUCGGCAAUGGACGGAAGUCUGACCGAGCAACGCCGCGGGAGUGAAGAAGGUUUUCGGAUCGUAAAGCUCUGUUGUAAGAGAAGAACGAGUGUGAGAGUGGAAAGUUCACACUGUGACGGUAUCUUACCAGAAAGGGACGGCUAACUACGUG